rnacentral:snRNA from 1 species
GUGCUCGCUUCCGCAGCAGAUAUGAAAAUUGGAACGAUACAGAGAUUAGCAUGGCCCUUAAAAAUACACAAAACAAAAAAAGACAUUAUGCCAAAUUUCU